UACGUAGGGGGGCGAGCGUUUGUCCGGAAUUACUGGGCGUAAAGCGCACGUAGGUGGUCCGUCAAGUUCGGCGUGAAAUCUCCAGGCUCAACUUGGAGGGGGUCGCGAAGACUGGCGGACUAGGGUCUGGCAGAGGCAGGUAGAAUUCCCGGUGGAGCGGUGAAAUGCGUAGAGAUCGGGGAGGAAUACCAGUGGCGAAGGCGGCCUGCUGG
rnacentral:rRNA from 1 species